CUAGUGGGAGUAACUCCUUCUAAGCUAAAUACAACCAUGAGACCGAUAGUAAACAAGUACCGUGAGGGAAAGUUGAAAAGCACUCUGAAUAGAGAGUCAAAGAGUACGUGAAACUGCCAAGGGUGUAAAGCUUGUGGAACUCAACCUGUAGUUACGAACCGUAAUGAUUAUGCCAAAACCGUGUCGCGGAGCGCUCCCUCGGAGUCGUCCCGUCCUUUUGGCGUACCAUGACCGGUUCGCACGCUGCCAUCGUGAUCCAUUACGAAGUGGGCGCGGCGACCCUCCGGGGUUGCUGCAAACAUGUCUGACACAAGGUCCCGGAACCAAUGCGGUCGACCCUCUAGUAGUGGCGCUCAGCUUAACGCCGGCGUCGCGAACGGGGGAUUGAGGCUCCGGUCUCAAGUUCGGCUAGGUUCAGGUGUGCCGUUGGACGCGUGAUGGAACGACCGAAAGGGAAGGUAGCUGGAAGCGCAUGUUAACGCAUGUAACUGGGCGCAAGCCCAGGGCGACCACUGCUCCUGAUCGACGAUGCAAUUCUGAUUGAGGUACCCACGGGACCCGUCUUGAAACACGGACAAUAAAAUUCACAA
rnacentral:rRNA from 2 species